UUCUGAGCGACAAGACGUAGAGCUUGCUCCUUGAUUCAGCGGCGGACGGGUGAGUAAUGCCUAGGAAUCUGCCUGGUAGUGGGGGACAACGUUUCGAAAGGAACGCUAAUACCGCAUACGUCCUACGGGAGAAAGCAGGGGACCUUCGGGCCUUGCGCUAUCAGAUGAGCCUAGGUCGGAUUAGCUAGUUGGUGGGGUAAUGGCUCACCAAGGCGACGAUCCGUAACUGGUCUGAGAGGAUGAUCAGUCACACUGGAACUGAGACACGGUCCAGACUCCUACGGGAGGCAGCAGUGGGGAAUAUUGGACAAUGGGCGAAAGCCUGAUCCAGCCAUGCCGCGUGUGUGAAGAAGGUCUUCGGAUUGUAAAGCACUUUAAGUUGGGAGGAAGGGCAGUAAGCUAAUACCUUGCUGUUUUGACGUUACCGACAGAAUAAGCACCGGCUAACUCUGUGCCAGCAGCCGCGGUAAUACAGAGGGUGCAAGCGUUAAUCGGAAUUACUGGGCGUAAAGCGCGCGUAGGUGGUUUGUUAAGUUGGAUGUGAAAGCCCCGGGCUCAACCUGGGAACUGCAUCCAAAACUGGCAAGCUAGAGUACGGUAGAGGGUGGUGGAAUUUCCUGUGUAGCGGUGAAAUGCGUAGAUAUAGGAAGGAACACCAGUGGCGAAAGCGACCACCUGGACUGAUACUGACACUGAGGUG
rnacentral:rRNA from 1 species